rnacentral:rRNA from 1 species
CACGUAGGGCGCAAGCGUUGUCCGGAAUUACUGGGCGUAAAGGGCUCGUAGGCGGCCAACUAAGUCGGAUGUGAAAUCCCCAGGCUUAACCUGGGAACUGCAUCCGAUACUGGAUGGCUUGAAUUCGGGAGAGGGAUGCAGAAUUCCAGGUGUAGCGGUGAAAUGCGUAGAUAUCUGGAGGAAUACCGGUGGCGAAGGCGGCAUCCUGGACCGACAUUGACGCUGAGGAGCGAAAGCUAGGGGAGCAAACGGG